rnacentral:lncRNA from 1 species
ACACAUUUAAAUGGUGCAGCAUGUUCAAGUUGUUCCUAUUGCUAAAAAUACGGACAUUACGAGUCUUAAAGGAUUACCUGGUAGAAAAGGAAUAAACAGUAGUUCAACAACUAAAGCAGCAUAAAAACAGCAGCAAAUCCGUGUUAAAACAACCCGAAAACUUAGAGAGGGAACCCAGAAAUGAACUCUAAAGAGGAUUUAUAUUUUUUUAAAAGUUUGCACUCUAAGAUUCACUCCCAAAGCUCACCAUUUCAGCUUACUUUUCAUGUGUUUAACUGCUGAUUUUUUUUGUUUUUGUGACAAAGUAAUUAUAAAAAAAAUGCCCCCUUGGAAGUGUGAUGGAGUCCCCUCUAUAUAUCAAAACAACCAGCUAUUUCAAAAAAUUAAAAAUCAAUUUUUUUGACGGAUUUUUCUACAAAAUCUUCUCUUAAAUUCAAAAGGCAAGACUUUCUAGUUCAAAUCUUGUCAAGUAUUUCAAACAAAAUCUGCUCUCCACUAUUCAAAGAUAGACUUUAUUCAAAUAAUGUCCAAAGGUCUACAUUUUCUUACCAAACAAUUUGACUUUUGAGUGUUGUACUCAAAGAGUCUUGAAGCAGUAAACAAACAACCAAAUAAGUAUCAUAUACUCUUAAGUAUUUUUCAUUACCUCACUUUUAUCAAUACAAAACUAUUUUACUACUUCAACAAGUGCAAAAACAGAAAAUUUAACAUUUCAAACUUCAAAAACUAAUGCUAAAAUAAUUAAUAAUAGACAAAAAUAAAAUCUGAAAAUUAAAAAUAAAAUAAAAAUCAGCCAUGAAAAAGAAUAGUAUUUUACCAUUUUACACAUCAAAAGGCCGAAAAAAUGGUGGUAUGCCAAAGAGGGUGUUCCGGGAGGUCGCCGGAAUUAAGCCAGAUUUUGGUCGCCGGAUUUUUGGGGUAGAAUUGACAUCAAUAGCUAGGUCUUGAAGAGCUCUAUCCAUUGAUGUAGGUAUUUUGGGGUGGUAGUGGUUGGAGCUUCAAGAAUUUGGGCAAAACAGUGACGGGAAAGUUUCCUAGAUCUAAGAUUCAAGGAGUUUGAGGGAUUUUUUUAAGAUUUGGUUUGGAGAUAUGGAAAGAGGAAGUUGUGGAGAUUACGUGGUGUGAAUUUGGAGGUGUUUGGAGGUGGUCCGCCGGCAGGCGGCGGUAGGCGGAGCUGGGGCGGCGUAGAGAGAGUGAAGAGAGAGAGAAGAGAGAAGAAGGAGAGGGAAAGAAGAGAGAGGAAAUAAGGGGGAAAUGGGGAAAUUUUUUGGGGAUUUUAGGCUUUAAAUACCUAGGAUGAAGAUCAAACUAGGACCGUUGGAUUAAAUCAAGAUGGGUGGAUGAGAUUGAAUCUUGUCACUUAACCAAAACAGUGUAGUUUCAAGAGAAAACUACGUCGUUUUAAGCUCUUCUUGGCAGCCCCCUUUUGGACCGGGUUUGGGUUCUUUGGGCUCAAAUUUUGGGCCAAUUUUGGCACAAUUUUAAUUAAAUUACACUAGCCCAAACCCCACCCCAUUUAUCAAACAAUUACUCAACUCUUAAAACAUAUACAUACACAAAUAAGAACA